GUACGUUCACCCGAAGCCUCCGGAGCCCAGCGGGAGUUCCCGUUGGGCUCCGGAGGCUUUGGGUUCCUUUUGAC